UCCUCCACCAGAUCAAGUCUUCAAAGAUAUAUUCGAUGUUUGAAAACAUUUUUUGUUUGUGCACUAACAGUUCUUUGUUUUUCAGUUGGUCAUAUUUAUUUUAUGACAGCUUUGUUGCAGCAGUACUAUAAUGCACAAGUGCUGUACUUUUGGAAAUGCUGUACAAGAAGAUUUUAACAAACGCAGAUAACAAAACGUUAUUAAUUACUUGCAUAUUUCCUGUUUUAAUAUAGUAGUGGAGAUGUUUAAAAUUUUAAUGUCUUCAAACAAGAAUUAAGCCUUUUACAAAUUUAAUAAUAGAGUUAAGAAGAAGGAAGACCUCUAAAACGUUCUUUAAAAAUUUAAUUGCUUUGAAAACCACAAAACGGAAACUAACCAAAAUAACUCAAAGUUAGCAGCAAAACAACUUAAGCAAUAUAUACGUGCACACUAUAGCCCAAAUAAGUAAUGACGCUCGUCGUCAUUUUUCUACUAAAUAAUAAAACUUUUCUUCAUUAUGAUACUAUUUUUCAAUCUUUUCUUCCGUGGAAUGUUGGAAAGGUGUUGAUGCAUGUUCUUUGAAAGUUUCAAGAGAGAAAUAUAUA